rnacentral:rRNA from 1 species
GAUGAACGCUGGCGGCGUGCCUAAUACAUGCAAGUCGAGCGAACAGACGAGGAGCUUGCUCCUCUGACGUUAGCGGCGGACGGGUGAGUAACACGUGGAUAACCUACCUAUAAGACUGGGAUAACUUCGGGAAACCGGAGCUAAUACCGGAUAAUAUAUUGAACCGCAUGGUUCAAUAGUGAAAGACGGUUUUGCUGUCACUAAUAGAUGGAUCCGCGCCGCAUUAGCUAGUUGGUAAGGUCACGGCUUACCAAGGCAACGAUGCGUAGCCGACCUGAGAGUGUGAUCGGCCACACUGGAACUGAGACACGGUCCAGACUCCUACGGUAGGCAGCAGUAGGGAAUCUUCCGCAAUGGGCGAGAGCGUGGCGGUGCAACGCCGCGUGAGUGAUGAAGGUCUUCGGAUCGUAAAACUCUGUUAUUAGGGAAGAACAAAUGUGUAAGUAACUAUGCACGUCUUGACGGUACCUAAUCAGAAAGCCACGGCUAACUACGUG